GAUGAACGCUGGCGGCGUGCCUAAUACAUGCAAGUCGAGCGGGCGGACGAGAAUCUUGCUGCUGAGAUGUUAGCGGCGGACGGGUGAGUAACAUGGGGAUAAGCUAAAUAGAAGACUGGGAUAACUUCGGGAAACCGGGGCGAAGACCGGAUAAUAGAAUGAACCGGAUGGUUCAAUAGUGAAAGACGAUCUUGCUGUCGAUUAUAGAUGGAUCCGCGGUGCAGUAGCGAGUUGGUAAGGUAACGGCUUACCAAGGCAACGAUGCAUAGCCGACCUGAGAGGGUGAUCGGACAGACUGGAAGUGAGACACGGUCCAGACUCCUACGGGAGGCAGCAGUAGGGACUCUGCCGCGAUGGGCGAAAGCCUGACGGAGCAACGGCGCGUGAGUGAUGAAGGUCUUCGGAUCGUAAAACUCUGUUAUUAGGGAAGAACAUAUGUUUAAGUAACUGUGCACAUCUUGACGGUACCUAAUCAGAAAGCAACGGCUAACUCCGUG
rnacentral:rRNA from 1 species